CGCCUGCGCUCCUUCCCACGUGCGUCAGCUUCAGUCGCGUGGAGCCCGGGAAGCCACCGAUUCCUGAGCCCAGCAGCUCUGCGCUCGCUAUGAAACCAGGGUUCAGCCCCCGCGGGGGUGGCUUCGGUGGCCGCGGUGGCUUUGGUGACCGUGGAGGUCGCGGUGGUGGCCGCGGAGGCUUCGGCGGGGGCCGAGGAGGCUUCGGCGGAGGCCGAGGUCGCGGUGGAGGAGGAGGAGGCUUCAGGGGCCGUGGACGAGGAGGGGGAGGAAGAGGUGAUGGACCGGGCUCUCCCGGGGCUGGGGGUGGCGGGUUCCAGUCUGGUGGCAACCGGGGUCGUGGUCGGGGAGGAAAGAAAGGAAACCCGUCGGGGAAGAAUGUGAUGGUAGAGCCCCAUCGACAUGAGGGCGUCUUCAUUUGUCGAGGAAAGGAAGAUGCACUGGUCACCAAGAACCUGGUCCCUGGGGAAUCCGUUUACGGAGAGAAGAGAGUCUCGAUUUCGGAGGGAGAUGACAAAAUUGAGUACCGUGCCUGGAACCCUUUCCGUUCCAAGCUGGCAGCGGCGAUCCUGGGCGGGGUGGACCAGAUCCACAUCAAGCCGGGGGCCAAGGUCCUCUACCUCGGGGCUGCCUCGGGCACCACCGUCUCCCACGUCUCUGAUAUCGUCGGCCCAGACGGUCUGGUCUAUGCAGUUGAGUUCUCCCACCGUUCUGGCCGUGACCUCAUUAACUUGGCCAAGAAGCGGACCAACAUUAUUCCUGUCAUUGAAGACGCUCGGCACCCACACAAAUACCGCAUGCUCAUCGCAAUGGUGGAUGUGAUCUUUGCUGACGUGGCCCAGCCAGACCAGACCCGGAUUGUAGCCCUGAAUGCCCACACCUUCCUGCGUAAUGGAGGACACUUUGUGAUUUCCAUUAAGGCUAAUUGCAUUGACUCCACAGCUUCCGCAGAGGCUGUCUUUGCCUCUGAAGUGAAAAAGAUGCAGCAAGAGAACAUGAAGCCCCAGGAGCAGCUGACCCUAGAGCCGUACGAAAGAGACCAUGCUGUGGUCGUGGGUGUGUACAGGCCACCUCCCAAAGUGAAGAACUGAAGCCCAGCGCCACUGGAUCGCCAGAGAGUCUGUAGCUACUGUUACACGUUUGUUUUUGUAUUAAAAGACUCAUCAGUCGC
rnacentral:misc_RNA from 1 species